rnacentral:rRNA from 1 species
GAUAAACGCUGGCGGCGUGCAUGAGACAUGCAAGUCGAACGAGUGACCCCGGGCUUGCCUGGAGUCGCUAGUGGCGAACGGCUGAGUAACGCGUGGGUGACCUGCCCUGAAGUGGGGAAUAACUGCCCGAAAGGGUGGCUAAUACCGCAUGUGGUGACACGUUCGUUCGUGUGACCAAAGCCGCAAGGCGCUUCGGGAGGGGCCCGCGUCCGAUUAGCUCGUUGGUGGGGUAACGGCUCACCAAGGCGACGAUCGGUAGGUGGUCUGAGAGGACGAUCACCCAGACUGGGACUGAGACACGGCCCAGACUCCUACGGGAGGGCAGCAGUCGGGAAUUUUGCUCAAUGGGCGCAAGCCUGAAGCAGCAACGCCGCGUGAGGGAUGAAGUAUUUC